UACGAAGGGUGCUAGCGUUGUUCGGAAUUACUGGGCGUAAAGCGCGCGUAGGCGGGCUGUCAAGUCAGGGGUGAAAUCCCGGAGCUUAACUCCGGAACUGCCUUUGAAACUGUCAGCCUGGAGUGUGUGAGGGGAUAGCGGAAUUCCUAAUGUAGAGGUGAAAUUCGUAGAUAUUAGGAGGAACACCGGUGGCGAAGGCGGCUAUCUGGCACACAACUGACGCUGAGGCGCGAAAGCGUGGGGAUCAAACAGG
rnacentral:rRNA from 1 species